AUUGAACGCUGGCGGCAGGCCUAACACAUGCAAGUCGAACGAGUGGCGGACGGGUGAGUAAUGUAUGGGAAACUGCCUGAUGGAGGGGGAUAACUACUGUAAACGGUGGCUAAUACCGCAUACCAUCAGAUGUGCCCAGAUGGGAUUAGCUUGUUGGUGGGGUAACGGCUCACAAAGGCGACGAUCCCUAGCUGGUCUGAGAGGAUGCACAGCCACACUGGAACUGAGACACGGUCCAGACUCCUACGGGAGGCAGCAGUGGGGAAUAUUGCACAAUGGGCGAAAGCCUGAUGCAGCAAUGCCGCGUGUAUGAAGAAGGCCUUCGGGUUGUAAAGUACUUUCAGCGGGGAGGCGUUACCCGCAGAAGAAGCACCGGCUAACUCCGUGCCAGCAGCCGCGGUAAUUC
rnacentral:rRNA from 1 species